GACGGAGGAUGGCAAGUGUUAUCCGGAAUCACUGGGCGUAAAGCGUCUGUAGGUGGUUCGAAAAGUCCACUGUUAAAAAUUGAGGCUUAACUUCAAAGAUGCCGUGGAAACUUUCAAACUAGAGUAUGGUAGGGGUAGAGGGAAUUUCCAGUGGGAGCGGUGAAAUUGGCGUAGAUAUUGGAAAGACCACCGAUGGCGAAGGCACUCUACUGGGCCACUACUGACACU
rnacentral:rRNA from 1 species